UGAGUUGGCGAUUAUUCGUACCUCCUUAGAGUUCGCCGGAACCACAAAAAGCGAAACAAGCAAAAGAAAAUCAUUUCCGUUACUGGUGCAGAUUGUAGACUUAGACACUGUCCAUACGAUAUAGGUCUGCUGUAUCAAUUUGUGCUGAUCAGUACUUAAUUAAAGAGUAAUACAAUUGCGAAGAAUAUUGAAUGUUUUUGUCGUACAGUGAACUGAGGAUGAAGAUAUCUACAUACCAGAGGCCAUCACCAGGUGCCAUUGAAGAAAUCAGCACAUUACUUACCUCUACAAGCAGCAUCCGAAGUUGACCUAUGCACUGAAAAACCAUGUCAUCGUUGUUGUAUGAUUUUAUUGAUGAGGUAAGCUAUAAAAUGAGGUGAAAGGAAGGCAUUGCAAAAAUUCUUUUGUAUAAAAAAAUUCAAAUCGUAAAACAAUAAAAGCUGGAAUCACUUUAAUCACAACAGUAGUAUUUGUUCGCACUUCAUUUUGUUAACACAAACAACACAUCUUACAAAUUUUGUUGUCAAUAACAUAGCAUAGUUCUUGAUAAGCCUGUCCUGAAGUUCUAAGGAGUCUUUGUAUUCAGGUCUAAUUUCCUUCAAAUAAAAUUUUCUGAAUGAAA